rnacentral:rRNA from 1 species
ACUAAAGCUAGCCCAAAAAUAAAACCUAACCCAAUUACCACUAAGCCCACUUAAACAAAACAUUUACUUAAACCCAUUAAAGUAUAGGAGAUAGAAAUUUUAAUCGGCGCUAUAGAGAAAGUACCGCAAGGGAACGAUGAAAGAAAUCUUAAAAGUACCAAACAGCAAAGCUCACCCCUUCUACCUUUUGCAUAAUGAUUUAACCAGAACAGUUUUAGCAAAGAGAACUUAAGUUAAACACCCCGAAACCAGACGAGCUACCUAUGAACAGUUCCAAAAACAAACUCGUCUAUGUAGCAAAAUAGUGAGAAGAUUUAUAGGUAGAGGUGAAAAGCCUAACGAGCCUGGUGAUAGCUGGUUGUCCAAGUCAGAAUAUAAGUUCAAAUUUAAAUUUACCUAAAAGCCCUAAUAACUCCAAUGUAAAUUUAAAUUAUAAUCUAAAAAGGUACAGCUCUUUAGAUGCAGGAUACAACCUUAGUUAGAGAGUAAGAUCAAAAUCAACACAUAGUUGGCUUAAAAGCAGCCAUCAAUUAAGAAAGCGUCUAAGCUCAACAACGCAACUACCUUAAUUUCAACAAUAACUAACCAACUCCUAACUUAAUACUGGACUAAUCUAUUAAUAAAUAGAAGCAAUAAUGUUAAUAUGAGUAACAAGAACUAUUUCUCCUUGCACAAGCCUAUAUCAGAACGAAUAACCACUGAUAGUUAACAAUAAGAUAAGCACAAUCCAACAACAAACCACCUAUCAAACCAAUUGUUAAUCCAACACAGGCAUGCACUUCAAAGGAAAGCUUAUAAAAAGUAAAAAGGAACUCGGCAAACACAAACCCCGCCUGUUUACCAAAAACAUCACCUCUAGCAUACCCAGUAUUAGAGGCACUGCCUGCCCAGUGACAUCUGUUUCAACGGCCGCGGUAUCAUAACCGUGCAAAGGUAGCAUAAUCACUUGUUCUCUAAAUAAGGACUUGUAUGAACAGCCACACGAGGGUUUUACUGUCUCUUACUUUCAAUCAGUGAAAUUGACCUCCCCGUGAAGAGGCGGGGAUGACACAAUAAGACGAGAAGACCCUAUGGAGCUUCAAUCAACUAAUUCACAAAAAUAAAAUAUUCAACCUACAUACAAGGGAUAACAAAAUUUUGACUGAAUUAGCGAUUUCGGUUGGGGUGACCUCGGAGAACAAAACAACCUCCGAGUGAUUAAAUUCCAGACUAACUAGUCAAAAAUAUCACAUCACUUAGUGAUCCAAACUAUUGAUCAACAGAACAAGUUACCCUAGGGAUAACAGCGCAAUCCUAUUCUACAGUUCGUAUCGACAAUAGGGUUUACGACCUCGAUGUUGGAUCAGGACAUCCUAAUGGUGUAACCGCUAUUAAUGGUUCGUUUGUUCAACGAUUAAAGUCCUACGUGAUCUGAGUUCAGACCGGAGUAAUCCAGGUCGGUUUCUAUCUAUUUAAUAUUUCUCCCAGUACGAAAGGAAAAGAAAAAUAAGGCCCACUUCACAAAAGCGCCUUCAAACCAAUAGAUGAUGUAAUCUCAAUCUAAUAAAUUUAUACACAUUUUACCCCAGACCAGGGUUAU